CGAGUCGCGCGAAGCCCGCCACCGCGCCGCCGCCGCGCCGCCACCGCGCGCGUUGCCCUCCCUUCCUGUCGUUGCAUUCAUUCCAUUACCGGCCGCAUAAGAACCUGCACGCCGCGGCCGGUAAUGGAAUGAAUGCAACGACAGGGAGAUAGGGGAACGCGCGCGGUGGCGGCGCGGCGGCGGGGGUCGGGGCGCGAUGGC
rnacentral:pre_miRNA from 1 species